rnacentral:rRNA from 2 species
UACCGGUAUAUCUGCCCAGUGAAUCUUCAACGGCCGCAGUAUUCCUAACUGUGCUAAGGUAGCAUAAUAAUUAGUUUUUUAAUUGAAAACUCGAAUGAAAGAAUCGACGAGAGACUUUCUGUCUCGGUAAUUCUAGUAACUUGCUACAAAGGUAAAAAAGCCUUUAUAAUUUAAUGGGACGACAAGACCCUAUAAAACUUUACUCUUCCUCUUGCGCACCUCAAUCCAUCCCAAGAUACGAGUUAUGCUGGGGCGGCAUUUUUUAAUCUAAACAAUUAUUCACUACAACAUAAUCUAUGAUAUUAACAAACCCCCGUAAGUAAUAAAGAACAAGUUACUUUAGGGAUAACAGCGUAAUAUUUCUUUAGAGCCCUUAUCGACAGAAAUGAUUUCGACCUCGAUGUUGAAUUGAAGCCUCUCUGCGGAGCAG